UGCAGAAUCUCGUGAACCAUUGAGUCUUUGAACGCAAGUUGUGCCCGAGGCCUUGUGGCCGAGGGCACGCCUGCUUGGGCGUCAUGGCAUCGUCGCCUUUGCUCCUUGCUCUGUUGGUGCCAAGCGCGGAAAUUGGCCCCGUGUGCCCUCGGGCACAGUCGGCUGAAGAGUGGGUAAUCUCGGCAGUCGUCGGGCGCGAUGGGUGUUGGUCGCCCUGUGCGUGAACUGAGCGUCGUCCCCGUCGUGCUGGGAUGAGUCCCAAAGAGACCCUGUGUGAUUGCGGCGUCGCAUGAAAGUGCCGUGUCCAUCAGAUUGUGGCCCCAAGUCAGGCGAGGCCCACCCGCCGAGUUUAAGCAUAUAAAUAAGCGGAGGAGAAGAAACUUACGAGGAUUCCCCUAGUAACGGCGAGUGAACCGGGAUCGGCCCAGCUUGAGAAUUUGACGGUUGAAUCCGUUCGAG
rnacentral:rRNA from 1 species